CCUACGGGGGUCUGCAGUGGGGAAUAUUGGACAAUGGGGGGAACCCUGAUCCAGCCAUGCCGCGUGUGUGAAGAAGGCCCUCGGGUUGUAAAGCACUUUCAGUGAGGAAGAACGCCUGGUGGUUAAUACCCAUCAGGAAAGACAUCACUCACAGAAGAAGCACCGGCUAACUCCGUGCCAGCAGCCGCGGUAAUACGGAGGGUGCGAGCGUUAAUCGGAAUUACUGGGCGUAAAGCGCGCGUAGGUGGCUUGAUAAGCCGGUUGUGAAAGCCCCGGGCUCAACCUGGGAACGGCAUCCGGAACUGUCAAGCUAGAGUGCAGGAGAGGAAGGUAGAAUUCCCGGUGUAGCGGUGAAAUGCGUAGAGAUCGGGAGGAAUACCAGUUGCGAAGGCGGCCUUCUGGACUGACACUGACACUGAGGUGCGAAAGCGUGGGUAGCAAACAGGAUUAGCUACCCUGGUAGUC
rnacentral:rRNA from 1 species